rnacentral:rRNA from 1 species
CCCUUAGAGUUUGAUCAUGGCUCAGAUUGAACGCUGGCGGAAUGCUUUACACAUGCAAGUCGAACGGUAACAGCAGAGCUUGCUCUGGCUGACGAGUGGCGGACGGGUGAGUAAUAUAUCGGAACGUGUCCAAUAAUGGGGGGUAACUAGCCGAAAGGUUGGCUAAUACCGCAUACGCCCUGAGGGGGAAAGCUGGGGAUUCUUCGGAACCUGGCGUUAAUGGAGCGGCCGAUACCUGAUUAGCUAGUUGGUGGGGUAAAAGCCUACCAAGGCAACGAUCAGUAGCUGGUCUGAGAGGACGACCAGCCACACUGGGACUGAGACACGGCCCAGACUCCUACGGGAGGCAGCAGUGGGGAAUUUUGGACAAUGGGGGCAACCCUGAUCCAGCCAUUCCGCGUGAGUGAAAAAGGCCUUCGGGUUGUAAAGCUCUUUCGCAAGGGAAGAAACGAUAUGGGUUAAUAGCCUAUGUUAAUGACGGUACCUUGACAAGAAGCACCGGCUAACUACGUGCCAGCAGCCGCGGUAAUACGUAGGGUGCAAGCGUUAAUCGGAAUUACUGGGCGUAAAGCGUGCGCAGGCUGUUUUGUAAGUCAGAUGUGAAAUCCCCGAGCUCAACUUGGGAACUGCGUUUGAAACUACAAGACUAGAAUAGGUCAGAGGGGGGUAGAAUUCCACGUGUAGCAGUGAAAUGCGUAGAGAUGUGGAGGAAUACCAAUGGCGAAGGCAGCCCCCCUGGGAUCAUAUUGACGCUCAUGCACGAAAGCGUGGG